GCCUCGGUAGCUCAGCUGGUACGCGAUACGCAGCAAAGAGCGUUCGCCUCGUAAGCGAAAGGUCAUGGGUUCGAUCCCCAUCCGGGGCU
rnacentral:tRNA from 1 species